GCUUGUCUCAAAGAUUAAGCCAUGCAUGUCUAAGUAUAAACAAUUCUAUACUGUGAAACUGCGAAUGGCUCAUUAAAUCAGUUAUAGUUUAUUUGAUAAUAUCUACUACUUGGAUAACCGUGGUAAUUCUAGAGCUAAUACAUGCGUAAAAACCCGACUUCGGAAGGGUUGUAUUUAUUAGAUACAAAACCAACGCAGGGCUUGCCCUGGUUUUUGGUGAUUCAUAAUAACUCCUCGAAUCGCAUGGCCUUGCGCCGGCGAUGUUUCAUUCAAAUUUCUGCCCUAUCAAUUUGAUGGUAGGAUAGAGGCCUACCAUGGUGGUAACGGGUGACGGAGAAUUAGGGUUCGAUUCCGGAGAGGGAGCCUGAGAAACGGCUACCACAUCCAAGGAAGGCAGCAGG
rnacentral:rRNA from 1 species